AUUCAUUAGAAAACUAAGAAGAAGAGAUGAGUCCAAAACGAUGGCCCAAAUCAUGAUGUUCGUUAUAAAGAAAAAAAGGUUUGGAGAGCCUUUUUGCUAAACUAUCGGCAACAAAGUAAAGAAGAGAUGAGUCCAAAACGAUGGCCCAAAUCAUGAUGUUCGUUAUAAAGAGAAAAAGGUUUGGAGAGCCUUUUUGCUAAACUAUCGGCAACAAAGUUGUCCGAUUUAGAAACAUGAUAGAAAGAAAUUGUUGCAAAACCAGAGGAGAUCGCUCGGAUGCCUUUCACAAUUCCGAUGUUUUUUUUUGACUGGAUGUUGCCGGAGAUAGCUCUUGCGAACGUUAAACUGUCGGAGAGAACCUUGAGUGUAGAGAACUCCAAGGUUAGUGCUAAGUGUCGAUCGAAUCGUGAUGGCCUUCUCCAACGCAGAUUCUAGCGCCAUGCACUAGAGAUGUAUUCUAGGUUGCCAAUCGCAAAGAUGGUGACUUGAGAACGACGACCCAUCUCCUUCUCCAACGCAGAUUCUAUACACGCACGGACACGACCAGGCUCAACCCCGUCCGGAACCGGACACGAGUUCAUGUCCCACCAAACUAACGUCCGCUUUUUUAACGCUAACGCAUCACCUAAUCAACCAAACCAUUAUCGAAUCAAUCAACGGAAAUAAUCUGAAAUAAUUGACAAUCCAAAACUACUUACCACCUCCUCCCAUAUCAACAACGAAGAAUUUUUGAUCGGCUUAGGGUUUCAGAAUUAUUUAUAUAUAUAUAUAUAUAUGCUAUGCACCAAACUUAUGGGCCUAUGUCUUGGGCUAUCUAAACUUAUGGGCUACCGACUUUAAUAUUCAUUUCCUUCUUCUCAAGUGUUAAAAAUCAGAGUCAUGGUAAUCUGGCUUUUGAAUAAAAUUCAUCUUUAUAUAAUGCUUUAGUUACGUACUUUUCACGUUACCCUUUCACCCCAUCAUAAACUACGUACAUGCAUGCAUACACUGCUCAAUCAUAUGCUUAAUGUUUAAUAUAAUUUAUUCUAAGACAUACUAUAGUCUACAU
rnacentral:lncRNA from 1 species